ACAACCGAAUUAUGUGUGACAACAAAGAGCACUAAAACCCACUCCUGAGAUAUUAGUGCGCCUGUAGAGGUUAUUAGGGUAAGCUAUGCUUUUAAUGGUUUUCAUAUACCUGAUUAAGUCAGGUUGAGUAUGGCAGGAUACUCUUAAAUGGAAAUCACCUAUGUGAGUGUGAAGGGGCCGCUUCUAUGAGAAUGAGUAAGGCUAAGUUCUCUAAAACACUUGCAGAACCAGGUGGUGUUCAGGGCCAAAAUGAACACAAAGUAAGAAAUAACAAUGUUCGAAAGGAAGCUGUGUAAUUUCUAUUGUCUUGAUUUACACGAACGGCUGAACAGUUCAAGGCAUCUCGUCCACUAGUUAGCCAAGUAAAUCCAAUAGUUUUUACUAAGGAAGGUUCAAGGCCAAAAGCUACCUAUCUCGAUGCAGUUACUUUCACUAGUACUCAAUGUCUUUCUCUAUGUCUGUAUUUGAAAUUUGUUUUCUUCAGCCAAUUCCAAUUCAUGUGGG
rnacentral:lncRNA from 1 species